CCCCCCCCCCCCCAGGAAAAGUCCCUUUUUCCUAAAAUUAUACAUUCAAACAAACCAGCGAAGAAUAACAAAUAGAUAAAUGGAAGGUAAGUUUUGGGCUUUUUCCUUUGUCCUUGUUAACAAAAUCGAUUUAAAUUGUUAUCACUCAUGUUUUUCUACCACUAAGUAAUGAUAAAUUAUUGUUAAUAAUUUUUUUUAUUUUUUGGAUGCUCAGAAUGCAGGAAAUAGUAUUUCCGGAUCUCAAAUUUCAAAAAUUAUCCCCCUCUAAUAGGUAAUGAUAAACUACGGUUAAUAUUCUUUUUUACUUUUUGUGCAUUUUUUCCUUCUUUUAUUUCAAAUACAAGUAUAGUUAGCAUAAAUUUUUGAGCAAAUUUGGAUGCUCAGAAUGCAGGAAAUGGCAUUUCCGUGCUUCAAAUUUCAAAAAUUUUCAUGACCCAGACCCCCCAUUCAUGUGCGGUAUGUUGGCCACACACAUGCCAUUGCUAUCCCCCUCAAA